rnacentral:rRNA from 1 species
GUAGGGGGCAAGCGUUGUCCGGAAUCAUUGGGCGUAAAGCGCGCGUAGGCGGCCCGGUAAGUCCGCUGUAAAAGUCAAGGGCUCAACCCUUGAACGCCGGUGGAUACUGCCGGGCUAGAGUCCGGAAGAGGCGAGUGGAAUUCCUGGUGUAGCGGUGGAAUGCGCAGAUAUCAGGAGGAACACCAAUAGCGAAGGCAGCUCGCUGGGACGGUACUGACGCUGAGGCGCGAAAGCGUGGGGAGCGAACAGGAUUAGAUACCCUGGUAGUCCACGCCGUAAACGAUGGGCACUAGGUGUGGGAGGUGUCGACUCCUUCCGUGCCGUCGCUAACGCACUAAGUGCCCCGCCUGGGGAGUACGGCCGCAAGGCUAAA